CGCCGCGGCCUCUCGCCGGUUUUAAUAGCGACACCCCGCCCCUCGAGGCGUCACCCCGGUGGUUGGGUCGCUCCCCGCUGUGGCACGCGUGGGGGCGGUGGAGGCGCGAAGCCGGGAAUGCAGGUGACGGCCGAGAGGGCUGACAUCUCAACUUAAGGAGGCACCUAGAUGCCGGGACCAUGGAUGGCCUUCCUCCUAGGAAUGCUGGGAAUCCUUUCCUUCCUGAGGAGCCAGGCCUGGACACCCACACACCGUGAUGGUUUCAGCAAAGCAGCCCAGCAUGAGUUCUGACUCAGGGGUCUGACUCGCCCCCCACAGGAACGGGAGUCUGUUCCCCUAGCCCUUGAAUCUGGGCUCACCUUGUGACUCACUUUGACCGACAGAACAUGGCAGAAGUGAUGUCGUGGUCCUUCAGAGGCCUUGAGCCUCUGCCUUCAUCCCCUCGCGCUGCCCUGGGUCUGUUAUGUAAGGGAAUUUACCAGCAGAUGAGGCCGCGUGGAGAACCGAGGAGUUCCAGCCAAUAGCCAUCUGAUCUCCCCACUCAGCGGACCUGCCAGCUGGAUCCAGCCACGUGAGUGAGCCCAGGUGAAAACAGCAGAGAAAACAGCCAAGCUAAUUUUGGGGGUGAAUUGUGUGUGUCAGUGGAUAACUGAUAGGGUUUCCUAUUGCCCUUUGGAUGAAAAGAAUAUUCCAAAGUGCCCUAUAAGGUCCUGUAUGCCCUGAGCCCACCCAUGUCUCUCAGUUGGCUUCCAUUCUCUUUAGAGCCUCUAGCUUUGACCUUUGGCAUGCAUGUCCCUUUCUGCCAGAAAGCUUCUAUUCCCCUAACCCUCUUACUUUCAUGUGAGUAACCCGCACUCCUCCUCCAGCGCCCCGUAAAGCCUCCUCACCUCGUCAAAUACUACUGUAGCCUCAGGUAACACCACGUGCUUGCCUCUGGACUUUGACCAACAGAAAUUUGUGUUUUUGGAGGGGGGUGCCUGGUUUGCCUCUCCCAUCUGUAAACUCCAUGCAGGCUGUUCUGGGUCUGAUUUUGUUUACCGCUGUAUCCCUGUGCCAUACCACGGUGGGACUCGAUAAAUAAAUACUUGUUAAAUUAGUGAA